rnacentral:rRNA from 1 species
AUGGCGGGCGCCGGUGCUCUCUUCUUCCUCUUCUCCUUCUGCCUCCUCGCCCGGCAGGCCGCGGCCGGCGGGUACGGCGGGUGGCAGAGCGCCCAUGCCACCUUCUACGGCGGCGGCGACGCUUCCGGCACCAUGGGCGGGGCAUGCGGGUACGGCAACCUGUACAGCACCGGGUACGGCACGAACACGGCGGCGCUGAGCACGGCGCUGUUCAACGACGGCGCGGCGUGCGGGACGUGCUACGAGCUGCGCUGCGACAACGCCGGCAGCUCGUGCCGCCCCGGGUCCAUCCUGGUGACGGCCACCAACUUCUGCCCGCCCAACUACGGCCUCCCCAGCGACGACGGCGGCUGGUGCAACCCUCCCCGCCCCCACUUCGACAUGGCCGAGCCGGCCUUCCUCCACAUCGCGCAGUACCGCGCCGGCAUCGUGCCCGUCUCCUACAGAAGGGUGCCGUGCGUGAAGAAGGGGGGCAUCCGGUUCACCAUCAACGGCCACUCCUACUUCAACCUGGUGCUGGUGACCAACGUGGCCGGCGCCGGCGACGCGCGGUCCGUGUCCAUCAAGGGCACGCGCACUGGCUGGCAGGCCAUGUCCCGCAACUGGGGCAUGAACUGGCAGAGCAACACCUUCCUGGACGGCCAGUGCCUCUCCUUCCGGGUCACCUCCAGCGACGGCCGCACCGUCACCAGCAACGCCGCCGCGCCCGCCGGCUGGCACUUCGGCCAGACCUUCGAGGGCGCCCAGUUCUAG